CGCCUCUUGACUAAUAUAAGAGGUCCAGCCUGCCAACUGACAUAGUUUAACGGCCGCGGUCCCUAACCGUGCGAAGGUAGCAUAAUCACUUGUUCUUUAAAUAAGGACUCGUAUCAACGGCAUCACGAGGACUGUACUGUCUCCUUUCUCCAAUCAGUGAAACUGAUCUCCCCGUGAAGAAGCGGGGAUUAACCUAUAAGACGAGAAGACCCCAUGGAGCUUAAAGCCCAUAAACACCUCUACGCACUUAAAUCAAUCUAGCCUAAGAGACCUGUCAGCCAGCUUUAGGUUGGGGGGACCGCGGAGAAAAAUUUAACCUCCACGACAAACGGGCAAACGCCCUAAUCCAUGAAUUACAAUUCUAAGAAUCAAUAAACUGAUAUUUAAUGACCCGAUUAUUCGAUCAACGAACCAAGUUACCCUGGGGAUAACAGCGCAAUCUACUCUAAGAGCCCAUAUCGACAAGUAGGUUUACGACCUCGAUGUUGGAUCAGGGUAUCCUAGUGGUGCAGCCGCUACUAAAGGUUCGUUUGUUCAACGAUUAAAACCCU
rnacentral:rRNA from 1 species